GUCCUGAACAAAUAUAUAAUUGUAAAAAUUAUAUAAAAAAUAAAUAUAAAAUAAAUUUCCCUAUUUUGUUCUUAUCUAGUUAUAGUGGAAAGUUAAAUAUACACAAAUUAAGAAGAGAGAAUUUAAAAGAUGUAUCACCUAAUUGUAAUAUAUACAACAAUAUAGACAAUGUAAAUUCUAUUAAUAAAAAAAGUUAUAAUGAAGAAAAUACAACUAAAAGUUUAGACAAUAGUGAAACGUGUAAUGUUAGUCACAAUAUGAACUACAAUGAAAAUAUAGAUAGUAAUAGAAAAAUGAAACCAAUAUGUUGUUUUUUUCAAAUUGGAAAAAAUGAUUAUUUUACUUUUACAAAUAACUAUUUUCAUAUAUUUAAUAUAGCCACGGAUAAAUAUAAUUAUAUUGACUUUUCUCAUGUUCGUAAUAUAAAAUUAAAACAUAGUAUAACAAAUUCAAUUAAUGACUGUUGUUCAUUUUCAUCUAAAUGUUUAUAUAGUAAUAAAAAUUGUAUACAAACACAAACAGUAGAUUGUCAUAAUCUUUUAUAUUUUAAAACUCACAAGUUUAAUCAACAACUUUCGUUUAAUGAUGAUUUUGUUUCAAAGACAUUCAUAACAUAUCCCUAUAUAUACAAAAUAUGUAUUUCNNNNNNNNNNCCGUAUAUUAACUUAAACAAUAUAACAAUAAAAAACUCGAACGAUUUAAGUCCUGAACAAAUAUAUAAUUGUAAAAAUUAUAUAAAAAAUAAAUAUAAAAUAAAUUUCCCUAUUUUGUUCUUAUCUAGUUAUAGUGGAAAGUUAAAUAUACACAAAUUAAGAAGAGAGAAUUUAAAAGAUGUAUCACCUAAUUGUAAUAUAUACAACAAUAUAGACAAUGUAAAUUCUAUUAAUAAAAAAAGUUAUAAUGAAGAAAAUACAACUAAAAGUUUAGACAAUAGUGAAACGUGUAAUGUUAGUCACAAUAUGAACUACAAUGAAAAUAUAGAUAGUAAUAGAAAAAUGAAACCAAUAUGUUGUUUUUUUCAAAUUGGAAAAAAUGAUUAUUUUACUUUUACAAAUAACUAUUUUCAUAUAUUUAAUAUAGCCACGGAUAAAUAUAAUUAUAUUGACUUUUCUCAUGUUCGUAAUAUAAAAUUAAAACAUAGUAUAACAAAUUCAAUUAAUGACUGUUGUUCAUUUUCAUCUAAAUGUUUAUAUAGUAAUAAAAAUUGUAUACAAACACAAACAGUAGAUUGUCAUAAUCUUUUAUAUUUUAAAACUCACAAGUUUAAUCAACAACUUUCGUUUAAUGAUGAUUUUGUUUCAAAGACAUUCAUAACAU
rnacentral:lncRNA from 1 species